rnacentral:rRNA from 1 species
UACAGAGGUCUCAAGCGUUGUUCGGAUUCAUUGGGCGUAAAGGGUGCGUAGGUGGCGCGCUAAGUCAGGUGUGAAAUUUCGGAGCUCAACUCCGAAACUGCAUUUGAUACUGGCGUGCUUGAGGACUGGAGAGGAGACUGGAAUUCACGGUGUAGCAGUGAAAUGCGUAGAGAUCGUGAGGAAGACCAGUGGCGAAGGCGGGUCUCUGGACAGUUCCUGACACUGAGGCACGAAGGCCAGGGGAGCAAACGGG